GUCUCUCGAUCGGGGUGUUCCCCCUUUCCUUGCUCUCUCCCAUUCUCUCCUCUCGACGGCUCUCUCUCUCUCUGCUCCUCCUCUCUAAAUCCCGAGAUCCCCAUUGGCGGAGCAGGCACAGCCCCAAAUCGCGGCGGCGGAGCAAGGCGAGGCGGUGGAGAAGAUCUUUCUGGCGCACCGGAGCAGGCCAAGGCGGCGGAGCAGGGCAGGGCGCGGCCGCCCGGCGGGUUGGAGGCUUGCGCGGGGGAGCAAGGCGAGGCGGCGGGGUAGGGCAGGGUGCGCCCGCCCGGUGGGUUGGAAGGCGGGCGCGGCGGAGCAAGGCGAGGCCUCGCGGCGCCGCGGAGCAGGGCAAGGCCGGAGCAGGCCGCGGACGUGGGACAAAGCGUGGCCACCCGACAGGGCCAGAGCAGGAUGCGGCUGCAGUCGACCAUACGGGAGAAUUUCAGGGCUGCCUUUGAUUUCUCUUGAUCCAUGGCCGGCUCCUCCGAUCAAUCCAUCAGCCGCGGACGUCUUCUAUCCCUUCUGCCAUGUGAGUAAUCUACGAUGUGGUGCAGAGAGAUGAAGGGGCUGCUAAGAUGGAGAAAGUGCUCAUUUCAAUGGCAUCUUCUGCAGAGAGAUGAAGGGGCUGCUAAGAUGGAGAAAGUGCUCAUUUCAACGGCCUUUCAUUCGGAUUGGCCCUCCUGUACUCGUUCUCGAUCAGCAACAAGGCCAGAAGCAGAUGCUUCAUGUGCAGGCCAGCGAGAAAAGAAGAAACUGGCCAUUGUUCGUAAGGUCUUGCAUGAAAUAGAAGAGAAAGCUGAGCUUAUUUUAGAUGAACGAGCUGAACAUGAGAGGAUGGUUGAAGCUUAUGCUCUAAUGGAUCAAAAAUUGCAGCAGGCAUUGUUGGAGCAUGAUAAUUUUGAAAAUACAAUAAGAAAUCUAAAGCUUCAGAACCAGGAAUUUCAGCAUACAUGGAAUGGCCCUGCAAGAAUCAGAAGCACAUCAAGAAUGGAGCAAUGCAAUCACCACCGCCAAAAAAUUGACCAAAAUCAGAUAACUGGGAAAGAAAGAAAAUAGAGGUACUUGAUUUUAUGUUCAAACUGGAUGAGCUAGGUAAGUAAGCAACCUUCUGCCCAAGAUGCUUCUCCAGGAUCCUCAGCUUCUCGUCCUGCUUCUUCAGCUCCUUGCUCAGCUGCAGCGAUGCCAAGUAAAGUUACUUUUACUGUCUACUUUAGCACAAUGAAUAUUCAAAAGUUGCAUUCAGUUAGCAAGCAGUUGGAAGUACAAGUUAACUUAGGCUAAACACUCAAGCAAGCAAAAGGGAAAGUUAACUCGUGAAGCAAAUUACCUCAGCAAUAGCCUUGUCCUUCAGAGCUUCUGUCACCUUCAGGCCUUUUAUUUCACUGUAUGCAUGUCCUAACUCUCUCUCCUUUUCUGCAGAAAAUGCCAAAGUCUUUAACCAAAGCAGGCAUGGCACUCUCCUCUAAUUUUGAUCCUUUGUAGAAUAACCGUUUCUAGAAAAAAAUAUUCUGGUGGAAAAUAUUAUGGAGUGUAUAGUUUCCUCCAAAAGCAGAGAAUAAAAAGGUAAGAUCGUUUGAAGGCCA